UACGUAAGGUCCGAGCGUUGUCCGGAAUCAUUGGGCGUAAAGGGUACGUAGGCGGAUAAGCAAGUUAGAAGUGAAAUCCUAUAGCUCAACUAUAGUAAGCUUUUAAAACUGCUCAUCUUGAGGUAUGGAAGGGAAAGUGGAAUUCCUAGUGUAGCGGUGAAAUGCGCAGAUAUUAGGAGGAAUACCGGUGGCGAAGGCGACUUUCUGGCCAUAAACUGACGCUGAGGUACGAAAGCGUGGGUAGCAAACAGGAUUAGAUACCCUGGUAGUCCACGCCGUAAACGAUGAGUGUUAGGUGUCUGGAAUAAUCUGGGUGCCGCAGCUAACGCAAUAAACACUCCGCCUGGGGAGUACGCACGCAAGUGUGAAACUCAAAGGAAUUGACGGGGACCCGCACAAGCAGCGGAGCAUGUGGUUUAAUUCGACGCAACGCGAAGAACCUUACCAAGUCUUGACAUAUUACGGAGGUAUGUAGAGAUACGUACUUACUUCUUCGGAAGACUGUAAUACAGGUGGUGCAUGGUUGUCGUCAGCUCGUGUCGUGAGAUGUUGGGUUAAGUCCCAUAACGAGCGCAACCCCUAUUGUUAGUUACCAUCAUUAAGUUGGGGACUCUAGCAAUACUGCCGGUGACAAACCGGAGGAAGGUGGGGAUGACGUCAAAUCAUCAUGCCCUUUAUGACUUGGGCUACACACGUGCUACAAUGGCAGGUACAGAGGGAAGCGAGACUGCGAAGUUAAGCAAAACUCAAAAAGCCUGUCCCAGUUCGGAUUGCACUCUGCAACUCGAGUGCAUGAAGUUGGAGUUGCUAGUAAUCGCAGAUCAGAAUGCUGCGGUGAAUGCGUUCCCGGGUCU
rnacentral:rRNA from 1 species